rnacentral:tRNA from 1 species
GGAGUGAUGACCGAGAGGCCGAAGGUGCUCCCCUGCGAAGGGAGUAUGCGGUGUAGAGCCGCAUCGAGGGUUCGAAUCCCUCUCACUCCGCCA